rnacentral:rRNA from 1 species
GACGAACGCUGGCGGCGUGCCUAAUACAUGCAAGUCGAGCGGAAGUUGAAGAGCUUGCUCUUCAACUUUAGCGGCGGACGGGUGAGUAACACGUGGGCAACCUGCCCUGCAGAUCGGGAUAACUCCGAGAAACCGGUGCUAAUACCGAAUAGUUUUCGCCACCUCCUGGUGGCGUACGGAAAGACGGUUUCGGCUGUCACUGCAGGAUGGGCCCGCGGCGCAUUAGCUAGUUGGUGGGGUAACGGCCCACCAAGGCAACGAUGCGUAGCCGACCUGCGAGGGUGAUCGGCCACACUGGGACUGAGACACGGCCCAGACGCCUACGGGAGGUAGCAGCAGGGAAUCUUCCGGAAUGGACGAAAGUCGGACGGAGCAACGCCGCGUGAGUGACGAAGGUUUUCGGAUCGUAAAACUCUGUUGUGAGGGAAGAACAAGUACCACUUAGCUACUGGUACCUUGACGGUACCUCACCAGAAAGCCACGGCUAACUACGUGCCAGCCGCCGCCGUAAAAC